AGUAACGCGUGGGUAACCUGCCCUUAAGUCUGGGAUACCAUUUGGAAACAGAUGCUAAUACCGGAUAAAAGCUACUUUCGCAUGAAAGAAGUUUAAAAGGCGGCGUAAGCUGUCGCUAAAGGAUGGACCUGCGAUGCAUUAGCUAGUUGGUAAGGUAACGGCUUACCAAGGCGAUGAUGCAUAGCCGAGUUGAGAGACUGAUCGGCCACAUUGGGACUGAGACACGGCCCAAACUCCUACGGGAGGCAGCAGUC
rnacentral:rRNA from 1 species